UGAUAGUUCCGGUCUCCGACUAUGGUAAAGAGAGAUUGAUAAAAGCUGCAAAUAUGAUGAGAGAGAGUCUCGGAGUCCCUACACCAGGGAAAGAAUAAGCGGGCUGUGAUCCGAUCCUAUUGCUGGUAGAGCAAAGACCUGCGCAUUGGGGUGAAAGCACAUCCCUUACUCUCAAUAUCUAUCAAAGAACAAUCGUCCAAGAACCCCCGAAAGGUUGCAAUUCUAUAACGGUCCACCUCCCUGCAUCCAACUUUUUCCCAAUGGAGCUUUAUAUGUCGCCUUUCCCUUCUUGGAGUUUUGUGAAGAUGUCUCAAUUCCAGCCUGAUAGAGAGCACCUCUGUUGGAGUCUCCAUGACAACUUCUUCUUCAGUAGCCAAAGGAUCUGGUUUGCCAUAAAAGGUCUUCUAAUAAGGGCUGUUUUCUCUCACUUCCGCCUUUAGACAUGAACCAUAACGGCCCGGUAGGUCCUGAGGUAAUCCAGUUUCUUCAUACGGUAUUUCAGUGCAGUAGUUAGCAUAGUGCCCAAUUCGACCGCAUGAAUAGCAAAAAUGCGGAAGCCUUUCAUAUUUAUAAUCAAUCCACCAUUUUUUUGUCCCCGCAGGUUAUAACAGUACCUGUUUUAAGUGGGCUUGACAGGUUUAGCAGCACUUUAGCCUUUCCAUUUUUCCUGGUAUUUGUGCCUCUCGCCUCAAUCUUUAUCUCCUCUACUUUCCCCAAUCUUGAAGCUAAGAGACGUAUGGCACCUUCAUUAACUCUUGCACGGGGAAGACCUAUGAAGUGAACCCAGAACGCAUAAUGCAUGAAUUCAUAACAGUGCUCAGGUAUGUUUGGGUCACCUUCUUUAAGGACCAAUAAAUUGCUCAUGAAAGACCAAGGUCCUGUUUCUAGCACCCUUCUUUUUUCUUCACUUGAUGGGAAGAUAAAAGAGAAAUAACCCGGUUCAAUUUGUUCACAUUUCACUGAAUCAACUUUCCAUGCUCUCUUCAUAGUAUUACUUAAGGCCUGAAAAUUUGCAUUUGGCUUCGAAUAUAACUUGCCAUAUAGGGUUAAGUCACUUUGUUGUUUUGCCUCUUCUGGAAUUUCUUCCCCUAGGUCUGUGAUGUCAUCUUCAGACCACAAAUCUCCCAUUCUAUGGCACAACGCUGCUAAACGAAGAUGAUUUUCCUCUCUAUCAGCCAUUACCAAUAUCUGGUCAGGUUUUGCAGCAAAUUAAUUUGGUGGUUUGGCUAUGGAGUGAAGGGAGCUCUAGAAGCGAUUCUACCCAGGUAUAUUUCGACUAAAGGAGGGUCUGCUUUAGGGAACUAGUAUGCCACCAUAAACACAAAAAUGCUGAGGAAGCACAAGACCUAGGCCUCUAAGAUCCAGUAACAAGUGAAUGUUCCAGCUAUACAGUCACUCUUACCAGCCGAUUGUUCCUUCAGAUCCUGGCCGAGCUUCAAGGAUUCGUGGGUUGUUCUUCAAAAGGUGUUCGGUGGAAACCCAGCAAAACCAGCACCGCUUCUCACCAUCGGUGCCAUGCGGGUGAAGUAGAUUAGAGACAACUCCUUUAAUCUGGUGAUGUAUGCUUGAAGACUGCCAUGAUUUGCAGAUCUAGGGUUUUUUAAUUUGGGUUUUGUCUUAGGGAUUGAGAGAAGCUACCACAAAGGGGUAGAGAAGAAACUCAACCAUUGUUG